AUCACCCAAGUUGGUAAUAUCCAAUGUUAACAUCUUCACAAUCUGAGUGCGCUGAAUCCUGAAACACUGAAACUUCAUGUCCUUGGCAGCCUUGACACCGUUCAUGAUGGCCAUAACUCAGCAGCUAAUGAGCAUAAAAGAUCUUCGAAUAAAUUGGGUUUGAAUCACAUCAAUUUUUUCUGUCUCUAAUAACAGCCCUUAAAACUGCACCACUCAUUUGAGGUGUCAACAGCAGCAUCAACAUUGACUUUAAUAUUAUCUUCCGCUAGUGGCUAACACGUCUCAGGCUCUUUUUUAAAUGAUGUCACAAAGCACUUCCUGUUUUUUGGAAUGGUCCGAUCAUGAAGCAAACAAUCUCUAGUAUAUCAUACUUGAAAGUAAUUAUAACAAACAUAUCAAAAUCAUUACUUGAAAGUAAUUUGGUCAUGUUGUUGAAGAACAUGAUAAAGUCAGGAUCAUAAGCUUGACGAACUGAUUAUAAGAACACAUCUGACACUACAUUCUCCAUCACUACUACAAAAUUUGCAUGAGAAGUUGGUUCCAAAUCAACGUGUAUUGUGAUGGUUUAUGUGAAACCGAAGUCUCAUAAAUGAUGUCUGGCGUUCAGAUUGUAGUAGUGCAUCUUGGUGAGUUUGUCAUCAAGAUUAUAAGAGCACAAAUUAAUAGGCUCAUUGAUGGUUCGGGUUGCUGGAAUUUUGAGAUUGAUAGCAUAGAAGAUAUAAUUUCUAAAUACUUGUAAAGAAUAUCAGUUCUUGGUAAUUUUGUUUGAAUUUGCUGAGUUCAAUAAAGAACAGAAAGUGGGGACUAUACAGUGGGAAGUGGCAAGAGAGUGUGGCUCACAAGAGGAUCUAAAGACUUUAGAUUGAGGUUAUCAAAUCAAUAGCUGGAGAUAUAAUAUUUAUCGAUCUCUUUUAUUUUGUAACAAUCUGAUAAAGUUUUAUUCUGCAUAUUAGGAUUG